AAAAAAAAGGAUGGAUGGGAUGCAGUAUGGACUUACAACUGAAGACACGCCCGGUUCCCCAGUAUAAUAUUGGAAAAGUUACUUCCACUCUGGGCCUCAUUUCUCAUUCUGCACCAUGAGGGGGUUAAUAUAAAAUGAAGCUCAUAUCUGGUCAUCCUGUGGCAUAAAAUCAGAGCCAGUGUCUCAUCCCAGCCUGAGUGGCAGGCUGCAUCAUGCACAGCAGCUUGCAAUGAACCUCACUGCUGGGAUUCAUUCCCUUGUGUAACCGUGAAGUGGUUAGUGACUCCCCUUGGGACUCAGAGAAUACAGCAAAGUGCUGGGUUGCCUCUCCUGUCCGGGUCAGCUAGGGCUACUGUAAGAAAGUGCCACAAACAGGGUGGCUCACCAUAACAGAAAUGUAUUCCUUACAGUCCUGGAGGCUGGAAGUAUGAAGUCAGGGUAUCAGCAUGGUCCAGUUUUGCCAAGGUCCCUCUUCAGGGUAGCAGACUGCCAGCUUCCUGUUGUGUCCUCAGAUGCUUGAAAAAAAGAGACCCACAUGGCAAAGAGCUGGGAAACACCCAGGCCAACAGACAGAAAGGAACUCUGGCUCAGUCCAGACUGGUUCUGCCAUUACCCACGUGAGUGAGCUUGGGGGCAGCUCCUCUCACAGUCCAGCCUCAGUGAGAGACCUGAGAGACCUCCAGGCAGAGGCACGCAGACUGUGAGCUCCUGGAGGGCAGGGACCACUCGGCUGAUCUCAGCACAGCACGUUGGGCCCACCAGGGCACCUGCACAGGGUGAAUGCUCAGCCAUGGUUGUUGAAUGAAUAAAUGGGAGGAUCGCAGACUUUCCGCCUCCCCACCUUCUGACCAGUUAAGACUGUGGAGAUGAUCAAUAAAAAUGAGAGGUGCGAGUUAGGCCUGAGGCAGGAGGCCGGACAGCAUGAACUCUGGGUGACUCUUCCCUGGUUCCAGUUGCUGGCAAAGCAAGAGAGAGAAAAAGCUUAGUUCCAAACCAGGAUAUAUGAAUGGGACCCCUGCUUUUAAUUCCCAAGCAGAAUGACUGGAAUCACUGUGUUGGCUUUCAUCUGUUUGUACCUUGUAAGUAAAUCUGAGAACAUCCUUUCCUAUUUCAUAAAUGGGGCAGGGAGGGGCUGAGAGCUGUGAAACCUUUAAGGCAAGCAGCAUGUCCCUACAAAACUGGGUCAAAAUUGAAAGUCUGUAAAUGUAAAAAGUACAAUGUAUUCACCCCAAGGACACUUUGACCCUCAUAGUAAAUAUUACCAGUAAAAUGAAUCCACCCAAAAUAAAACUUAGUGCAUUCAGCCUGCUCUAACAAAAUGCCAUAAACUGGAUGGCAUGUAAAUGACUGAAAUUUAUCCCUCACAGCUCUGGGAGCUGGGAUGUCGUAGCUCAAAGUCCCAGAAGAUUUGGUAUCUGGUGAGGGCCAACUCCCUGGUUCACAGACAGCUGUCUUCUCGCUGUGUCCUCAGAUGGCAAGGCAGAGAGGGAGCUCUCAGUGGCUUGUUUUGUAAGGGCACUCAUGCCAUUCAUGAGGGCUCCACCCUUACAGCCUUAUCACCUCCCAAAGGUCCAACCUCCAAAUACCAUCAUACUGGGGGACAGGUUUCAAAAAGGAAUUUGGGGGGACACAAACAUUCAGUCUACAGCAAAAACUGAUCAUGGUUAAAGCUGCACAUGGUAAAAUUUAUCAUUUGCUGAAAAUUGAUGUAAGAAAAGUAUAUUUAACAUUUUGAUAUGCAUAAUUUGACCAAGGAAAACUGACUUGGUAGGAAUAAUACCUAAAGAAAGGUGACAAUAGCAGAAUCUAAAGUUAGUAAAUUAUGAUGUGGACCCCCCAGGAAUCAAGUCAUUUACAAAAAAUAACUUCGAGCCAGGCCUGGUAGCACACAUCUAUAAUCCCAACACUUUAGGAGGCCGAGGUGGGAGGAUUGCUUGAUGUCAAGGGUUUGAGACCAGCCUGAGCAUAUAAUGAGACCUUGUUUCUAUAAAAAAAAAAAAAAAAAUGAACAUCCACUGCAGCAUCCUAAAUUUCUAACAGCCUAGUUUGAAUUCAUACCAACUUAGCUUCAAAAGCAUACAAAAACCCUGCUCCUAUACAGUUCAUUCCCUCCUACUUUUAUGUUGUUGGCAAUCCUCCCACCUCAGCCUCCUGAGUAGCUGGGAAUACAGGCAUGUGUCA